rnacentral:lncRNA from 1 species
GCAGUCUUGGGGCGCUGGACCAGGAAGCCCAUGAUCUGCACCUGCUUCUGGUUGUCGAAGGCCACCAGGCGCACGUAGGCAUCGGGGAAGGCCUUGGUGCAGGCGACGAUCUCGCGCAGCACCUGCAUGGGGUCGCGGCAGCCGAACAUGGGCAGCUUCCACAUGGUCCAGUAGCGGUUGUCGUAGUACAGCUGCGGGCGCACGGGAAAUGGGAGGGAGAAGAGGUUCAGUCACCAGCGCACAGAACCACCAAAGAUGGAAUUGGGCCCCUUGCUUUUCCGUGCUGAAGCACGAGCAGGGGUAUGCGUCAGUUCCCCGCGGUGAGAUAGGCGCUGUCCCGGUGCCAAGCUAACCCAGUGCCACAGUGGACCCGUCUGGCUCUCGCUCCGACUUACGCAAGACACGCUGCCGAAGCGGAUGGCCGACUCGUUGGACACGUAGGCCUUGUCGGCCUCAGCGAACUCCAGGCAGGGGAUCCAGCCUGCAAGCGACAGCACGAAGGGGGUAAGAUAAGUGGCCGACGCAAGCAGUCCAGGGCUAUCCCAGAUAAGGGCGGAUGACAGGCAAACUAUACAGCAGACAACGAACAAGCUAAUCUCAAGCUUCGAGCGAUCGUAAUGUCGCAGUCUGCAGCUACGCCCUAGAUCGUAUUAACUAGCUCUCAAACACAGCCCAGCUACAUAUGCCCACGGCACCAAGCCGUGCUCACCGUUGGCGACGAUGUAGUCGACCUGGGCGGCGAUCUGCUCGUCGGUCAGAGGAGGCAGGUAGGAGAAGGUCUCGAACAUCCUGCGAUCACGCGAUUGACCAGUACUCGUUAGAAGUGGCAGAGCACGUGCGAUGUGAGGCAGCAGGCUGGGCCCCAAGCAAUUGCGUCGCGACUUGCAGAAUCCCUAUCCUUCGGGCUGCGCUUGCUCGUCGACUCACUUGUUGUUGACCGGGGUCCAGACCAUCAUCUGGUUGGCCUGAGCCGGGGCAGCCACGGGGGCAGCCUUGACGGCGGGCUUCAGCGCGGCCAUGGGGCGCACGCUGGAGCGGGCCGGGCGAGCCACGGCCGCGGAGACGGAGGACUUGGCAAUGACGGCGGCCAUUUUAGAUGUUUGAGAAAGUGGUCGAAUGAACGAGUAAGUUCUUGGGACAAAGACUCGGAGGUGGCCGGUCGCCGUUUUCAAUCCCCGCUCGCCGAUGACCCGUACGGCAGGCUUAUCCGACUCGUCGGCUUUCACGACCGCCCGAGCCUGCGCGCUUCAUCCGCUUCCGGAUAGCUUGCUACGAUAAUGCAUUAUUCAAUUUUACGACGCAAUGUCAUGAGCAGCGCCGGGCGGGCUUAUUUACAUGCGUCGCCUCGCUCGCCGUUGACUUGAUACUUUGGAAAUUCGGGCUCGAUUCGUUGCUACAGCCUGCCUUUUGCACACAAUGUGAACGUCGAUUCUACAUUUGUAUGUGACUGAACUUCGCGGCCCCUACUGAACGUUUCGUGCAAGCGACAUGUCGACUCACAACUUGGAGGAACGCGCGAGGGGUCCCCACACGCACUUUCAGCCUGCUUUGGCGAAAUGGACAUGAUAGGUAUAGCCAGGAUAUGGGUCUGCUAGCUCGCCUGGUGUUUUGACCGUCGAUCGGUUUCGCGUUGGGCCUUGCGGCUGCUCGCUCGCCGCGGAUGCUUCCGCACACUGCGCGGCACGUGUUAGUCUGUGCACGACGACGGUUUGUUUGUAUUGCGCCGCCAACGUUCAACGGUGGUGGUAGGUUCGAAUGUCAGAAUGUCGGGCACGGGGACCUUGGGCGCAUUGCCUACAAGCGCGUGCCUGUGUUUUUGGGGGGCAGAGAAGUGAGCCUGCCUAUUGGGUCACAAUAGCACAGAGGCGGGUGGCCAGCGUCGGGAACUGGUUCAGAACGGCUGCAGGGACAGCACCGUGCGUGCGUGUGUGUGUGGGGGGAGCCUUCAAAGUUGACGAGCUUCGCAGCGCUGGGAUGGACUGGCAUUGCGUGCUUGAGUUUGCGUCCCGUGAGAACCCUGCAGUUUAUGGCGGAGACAGGGAAGAGGGAAUGGGAUCGCGCCGGUGCAGGGAAAGGGCACGAAUCUGAGGUUACGGUAUCUGGGGGGAGGUGCCCAUGUGGGAGGGGAAGCCUAACUGCCUGUCUGGGUGCAGACCAGGAAUGGCAACACGUGAACGGUUAGUAGAGAGCUGUGUGCUGUUGGGCGCUCUCGGCAAGGGGCGUGGGAGGGGGCUGGGUUGGUGGGCGGCUGUCCGCACAGUGCCUAGCAGUGCGCACUCAGGCCCUUCGCAGACCGAAGAGGGCGCCAGGGCCUAUGCGCGCGUGGCUUGGCGUGAGGUUCUUGCUGUUGGCGUCAGGCGCCGCAAAAGGCCGGGUGGCUCUGCAGUGUCCUGCUCGCUUGGCGUGCGGCAAAGUGGUUCAGUCAGCGAGCGCAGUGUAUGCGUGUGUGCGUGUAUGCGUGUGCGUGCGUGUGUGUGUGUGUGUGUGUGUGUGUGUGUGUGUGUGUGUGGUUGCUGCGGAGAGGGCACGCAGCGACACGAGAUUGCCAUGCAGUGGUGCAAGCUGCUGGGGUCGGGUAAACGGGGUGGGAAAGUUGGUGAUGGUGGAAUGUUCUUGUGGCACGAACUGGCCUUGUGCGUAUUCGUUCGCCCCGUUCACUCUGGUCCACCAAUCCCACAGUCACUGCACUUAAAUGCCUAAAAGCCCCUGCUACGGUGCGGACAGGGUAAGGCCACGGCAGGUCUAAGUCCAUAUGCGCCCGUAGAGGUUCGAGUGCGUUAACCGGUCGCAAGGUGUUCACAACAUGUUGAUGUGUUGACAACAUGGCUGUGGUCAAGACGUGCCCUGCGAACUUCCCGUGUUUACAUGUUAAUAGAGCUCGCUGACAGCAGUCAUUUGACACCAUUAUGGAAGAAAACAGAGGGGAUUUAGGGGGUGUACGGCACGGUAUGGCACGGUCGGUCGUCGGUCCGGGGGGUCGGGGGGUUCUGCAGGGUGGGGCCUGGAACUAUUGUUCGUACACCCCCGCCUGGCUCCCCUGCUCCCCCUGACUAACCCCUGACCUCUGGCUUUCUUCGCUUUCCUUUCAGUGUCACCAAUUCUCAUGAGUGGGGGCGCACCCCGAAAUAAGCGGGUACGGUGCUUCAGUUCAGUGCUUGCCACGGCCUCAAGAGCCCCAAACCACGUGCACCGAAAUUCGCUUGCACUCCAAAUGCACUGGGAAGCCAGUAGCAGCGCGCUCUCAAAUGCUGGCAUGUGUCUCUCUCUGUCCAGAGCCUGAAUGCGCCAAGUCUGCUACGGUAGGAGGGUGCAACCCGUGGCCCGCCUUGAACCGCGCUUGCACACACAGCUGGAUUGCUGCUGGCAUGACCGUGUGAAAGAGGUACAGGCAGCCGGGCAAGUCCCAGCGGGCAGGUUGGUGUAGGCUAUGCCCCAUAACAGGCCCGUGCAUGCUGCCACGGACUUCUCGCCAGGAAUGUAAGUCCCGAUGCUAGACAAUUACUCCAGCAGCUGCAUGCCGCCAUCUUCAGUACUCGGUAUCCCUUGGUGCACGCAAGUCAAGGAUCAGUCCCAGGGCUCACCCUGGAGCAAUGCAGCCUGCGUGUGCACCUGCGAUGGAGCCGCGGCCUGCGGUAUUGGCUGCCCGAUUACGAAGCUGCGGGUGGGGGCAGUUGGCACGCAUUCCGCCACAGACCCCGCGAGCCUAGCCGCACCCAAGCUCUAAGCGGCCUAGACCGUGACCAAAGGCGAAGAAGCCGCGGCCAUCCCUGCGCUCAGAUUGCAUUGGUUACAAGAGGGACCUGCUGACGCAGUUCAUGGCUUCAUGCGCUCAGAGCCCGAGCCCUGAGCGGCAGCAAAAGCAGAAGCCACGCUACGUGUGCUAGCUACGACCAAUGCCUUGUACAGCUCUCCUCGGCUGCGCUCUUCGGCUGCGCUCCUCGGCUGCGCGGGACAGGGGACUCCGUGCAACCACUAUUGCUUAUAGCCUGCACCAGUCAUUGACGAGUGUUGCGGAACUAAUGCGUACGUAGACCAGAGCGGAAGGCGGAGUGGGCUUGCAGGCGGCACGAGAGUAGGCAGUCAGUAGCGCAAGUUGCGAAUUCCCAUGUUACCUCGUAACCGACGGUAAACGCUGUGGACGGUCGCGCCCAUGGCUGGCUGACGGAAGCUGGCUGCGGUAUUGGGAUGGCUGGGCUGGAUGACGCCGGCCGGGCUGGCGUUGGGACUACCAGAAAGGAUGCGCCCGAAACCAACCUGGAGAACACCAGCGCCACCGGUGCCCAGCACGACAUGUAAGGGAGGGAGGGAGGGACAGGAGGCGUGAUGCACUGCAGCGUAGAAGCUGCAGUCAUGGGCACAGCUUGUACCAUACAGCACGGUCAUCAAGGACACAAUGCCGGAACGGCAUCAUACGAGGCGGGGUUGGGAGCUGCAGGAAGUGGGCAGCGGGGCAGAAUCAAAGGUUUGCAUCGUUUAGAACAGGUGCGGAACACGCGCCAGCGCCAGCGCGGAGGACCCCAAGUAAGGCCUUUACUCACCAAUGUACGUUUUGUACACCCAAUCUCGCCCCCUAUCGACGUUGGCACUAGGUAGCUGGCUAUCAUUCUAUGCAGAUUAAGCAAAGGGGCACCGGGAACAACUGACUCAUGUUCGUCACUGCAGGUUACUGCAAAUGCUGUCUCCACCUUUGCUGCACGGUUCCGUUUCGUCACGUUUGCUGGUGUUGCUACCCGCCGUUCUUUAGUGUGUAACUGAUCUGCGAACCGAGUCCCCUUCAGCUGAUGAACCCCGCAGCAACUUUUCCAAAAGCGCUUCAAAUACGCCCAGCCCGCCCAUGGAGAAAGAGGCCAAAAUCAACGGAGGAUCGUUACAACCAACAAAAUUGCAAAACUCCUCCGCUUUUUACGUGUUGAAAAAGACUGAUCAGCACGAAACGGGGAGCUAAGCUACCGCUUCAGCACUUGAGAGCAGUAUCUUCCAUCCACCGCCGUUCGUCAGGGGGCAAGGCUCAGAUCAACGAGCGCCUCCAUUUACACGGAGCGCUUGUUGGCGGGCUGCCAGUCGCGGGCAGACUUGGGGCGCUGGACCAGGAAGCCCAUGAUCUGCACCUGCUUCUGGUUGUCGAAGGCCACCAGGCGCACGUAGGCAUCGGGGAAGGCCUUGGUGCAGGCGACGAUCUCGCGCAGCACCUGCAUGGGGUCGCGGCAGCCGAACAUGGGCAGCUUCCACAUGGUCCAGUAGCGGUUGUCGUAGUACAGCUGCGGGCGCACGGGAAAUGGGAGGGAGAAGAGGUUCAGUCACCAGCGCACAGAACCACCAAAGAUGGAAUUGGGCCCCUUGCUUUUCCGUGCUGAAGCACGAGCAGGGGUAUGCGUCAGUUCCCCGCGGUGAGAUAGGCGCUGUCCCGGUGCCAAGCUAACCAGUGCCACAGUGGACCCGUGUGCCAAAAGCUAACCCAGUGCCACAGUGGACCCGUCGGGCUCUCGCCAGACUUACGCAAGACACGCUGCCGAAGCGGAUGGCCGACUCGUUGGACACGUAGGCCUUGUCCGACUCAGCGAACUCCAGGCAGGGGAUCCAGCCUGCAAGCAAGGGGAUGAAGGGUGCCGCGAAGGGUGAACGAGGGACAAAGACACGGACAGGAACCGGAUAAGGGGCGGCUUGACCAAGAACUCACGCUCCGACCGCUACUUCGGCAACCCAAAUAAGUGAUUCCACGCUAUGGCUCUGUCGCUGUCGUAUAGCCCGGCUGGUAGCAGCUGGAAAGCUCAAGUGAGGCUGGACAAGCCGCGCUGGCAUGAGUGCAAGCUGUUUGCCCAAGAAAAAGCCGCCGAAAGCCCAGGCUGACUGCAGAUUCCUGACUUGGGCACUGUUCGUUGCUGGAGUGUUGCUCGCAACCCCGCAAGCUCACCGUUGGCGACAAUGUAGUCGACCUGGGCGGCGAUCUGCUCGUCGCUCAGGGGGGGCAGGUAGGAGAAGGUCUCGAACAUCCUGCAAAUGGAAACGGCGACGCAGGGUUAGAUGCUGCUUGAGACAGCGACAGAGGAGCCAAAAGCCUUCGUCGACACAAUGCGGGCGUUGCAAGUCAAAUCUGCAAGCACGCUGCCUGAUCCGCCGGGCUUGCUCGUCGACUCACUUGUUGUUGACCGGGGUCCAGACCAUCAUCUGGUUGGCCUGAGCCGGGGCAGCCACGGGGGCGGCCUUGACGGCGGGCUUCAGCGCGGCCAUGGGGCGCACGCUGGAGCGGGCCGGGCGGGCCACGGCCGCGGAGACGGAGGACUUGGCAAUGACGGCGGCCAUUUUAAGAUGUUGAGUGACUUCUCUUGUAAAAAAGUAAAGAACAUAGGCCCCCUGGCCGGUUUAUCAGGAGGGCACCGCUCCAGGGGCUGCAUGCGAACUGCUUGCAUUGGCGCCUAGCCUUUGUGGGCCAGGGGGCUUCCGGAUAAGGGUUGCAAGUGCUCAAAUACCCCAUCAAACAUCAUCCUGGUUUGGCUGCGCUCCUUCUGGCGCGCCCGGGAAGCCGGGCUUGCACGCAGAGUGAGGAUGCGGCACGGGUGCACGCGCACGAUAGUCACUUUGCAUUCUCAGGACGUUCGCGACGCUAUUAAGGCUGGGUUUUAUCAAAACUAACGAGCUCGGCCACGCGGGCGAGUUCAAACCGUGGCGUGACACAACUAAUAUACGCCCCCGUCGCGGCGGCCCCGGCUGGCGCGCAAAGCAUGCCAAUUACCUUCAUCUGUCACGAAGUAUCAUAGGACGGCAGGCGGGGCAUCUGGGCCGCUCUCGCGGUGUUGCUAGGAAACAGACAAUGUUCCUGCCGUUUGUCCAGUUUUUCGUCGUUUCUGGCGCCGUGUCGCCUCUAAGAGGUAUGUGGAAGAGUUUUACCUGGCUCGCGUCGAAUGUAUAGACCCGUGCGCCGGCGCAUGCGGCGAUCCGGGUUGUGCCGACGGUCGCGGCUUGCUUGACGUGGGCUGCGUAGUUCACCACUCCCCUGGGGCACUGGGUUCAUCAUCAUUUGUACACACUGAGACAGUGCGGUACUACCAUCGUGCAGGGGACUCCGAAGUUCGGUCCACCAAUCCACCAAUGGCGCUAGGACGGGACUUGACGGGAUCGGCGUAGGACGGUGGAACGGGUGCGGUUUGCGUAAUGCAUCAGGGGGGGUCGUGACAGAGGCACGAGAGCUCCCGUCAUGCAGAACGCCGUGGAGAGCCGCUGAGGGGUUUGGAAAGGUGAAAGGGGGGGUCCUAACGGGUCCUAUGACUCGCGGUGGGUUUCUUGCAAUCAUGUCAGGUAAGCGUCGGACCCCUGCAUAAUGCAAAUUACUUUGCGUCUGUUAUACCUAAGGCAGCAAUGCACGGUGGCGGUGGGUGGUGAUCCCUUGGUCGUUCAGACUUCCGACUGCACCCUACAAAAGGACUGAACGCACAGGGAUUGGAUCCUAGGGGUGACCGCACAGGGACCUGGACCCCGCCUACCGGCGCGCGCUGGUGCUGCGUGAGCUGCUGGGCUACCCCGCCGACGUCCCGUGCCGAAGCGGCCCACCUGUACCCACCGCCGCCGGGGAAGUGACAUGGGUUAGCAACCCGGCCUAUCCACUUUGGGUCGGGGCAGCGGCGGGGCAGGGCGGGGCAGGGUGCCGACGUGCUGUGACCUGCGGGACGGCGUGUCACAAAGCGUGUGCGAGAACGGCAAGGGAAGGGGCGAACCCAGGCGCGGCCUGGACGCGUAGACAGAACUGCAGGUGCAGGCGGGCGCUUGGCGGCACCCCAGGGGGACACACGUCAUGACGUCACGACCUGCACCCAACGCGUACGCGUCCCUCCAAUGCUAGGCCGCGCCGGCGCGAGUGUCGCCCUACUGUCACCGUGUGGGACGUGGCCGUGCAACAAUGUCUCUGCGUCUCGCCACGAGCAAGUGUUCACACAUUGCGCUUCAGUGCCUUGCCAGCCCGAGCACCCGCAGUACCCAAUGCCGCCGUGUCCCGACUCCACGAUGGGGGCCAGGACAGUCUGGCCUGACCAGGCGUGCUGCCUCUCCUACCGUAGCCUACCCCGGCGCGGCGGCCGUGCUGACCAUGGGUCCCACACUACCAACUCCAUGCCGACUCGGAUGUGAACGCUAGCUGGUGUUCGGGUGCGAAUGUGCAAUUGUGCGCAGCGCCCUGCAUCCCCCGCGGCACGGGCCCCCGUGUCAGGGCCCCGCCGCCCGGUGACGUACAGAAGGCAGGGCAGAGGUCCGGGCAUGUGGGCUUCUAGGAACUUCGAAACACCACCGCUGGUCACCUUCCUGCAGAUGCGCUGCGGCUCUGCAUCGCGAGUGUGGCGUUGCGGUGUGUCUGUGUGGUGCUAUCGCCUGGCGCCGGAGCGUGAGGAAUGCGCGUCAGCAAACUUCCAGCCAGCCAGCAACUUGUCGGUACUGUAAGAGCAUCCGUCAGCAAAAGUAACUCUGGCGUUCGACCAGCCGCGCACUCCUGCCCUGCCGUUGCAAAUUGUUUGCCAUCUGCUGGGAAUCAGCUGCAUCCUACGGGACUUCACCAACCUGCCUUAACACUGUCCCAUCGCACACCCCGACCAUGCCAUGUUGACGUUCCACCCAUGCGUUACACCGUACUUGUACAGUACGGUAUGAGGGCACGCUCUGGAUAAGCUCCUUGACCCGGCAGCCGACAAGACCAUGUGACACUUUGCAUGGACUCCACAUUUCUGCUGACGGCUUCUGCCUGUGCCACGGGAGGGGCCACAUUCGAAUGUAUUCUAGCGUCCUUUGCGCUUCAUGAUCACGCACCAUACAUGACCGUGCCGAACCGUUAUCCGCAAGCCGCCAAAAAGGAAGUCGCCUUGGGAUUAUGAAUGCGACAUUACAAGAAGGCACAGUCCGUCCAAGCAUGGGUGCCCAGCCCAGCGUGCCAGCCCAGGGAUUAUGCCUUUUCUUCUCUCAGUUUGCAUCAAGGACCCAAUCACGCUGACGCAUCCUGACGCAUUCACCGCCGGAACGCUCCCAGCAGGUUAAACGCGCGCUCCUUCUUGGAAGCGGUCUCCUGCUCCGGCUCCACCUCCUCCUCGGGCUCCUCCUGCACCUCCUCCACCGGCUGCUGCUUGCGGCCCAGCAGACCGCCGAACAACUGCUGCUUGGCGCCGUUUCCGUUUCCGUUGGUAUUUCCGUUUCCGUUUCCGUUGGCGGCCUUGGCGGGCGCGGCCUUUCCGUUACCGUUACCGUUGGCCCUGCCGUUGGAAGCGCUGCCCCUUUGACGGCGGGCUUCAGCGCGGCCAUGGGGCGCACGCUGGAGCGGGCCGGGCGGGCCACGGCCGCGGAGACGGAGGACUUGGCAAUGACGGCGGCCAUUUUAAGAUGUUGAGUGACUUCUCUUGUAAAAAAGUAAAGAACGUAGGCCCCCUGGCCGGUUUAUCAGGAGGGCACCGCUCCAGGGGCUGCAUGCGAACUGCUUGCAUUGGCGCCUAGCCUUUGUGGGCCAGGAGGCUUCCGGAUAAGGGUUGCAAGUGCUCAAAUACCCCAUUAAACAUCAUCCUGGUUUGGCUGCGCUCCUUCUGGCGCGCCCGGGAAGCCGGGCUUGCACGCAGAGCGAGGAUGCGGCACCGGUGCACACGCACGAUAGUCACUUCGCAUUCUCAGGACACCUGCGACGGGUGCGGUUUGCGUAUUGCGUCAGUGGGGGGUCGUGACAGAGGCGCGAGAGGUCCUGUCAUGGCAGAACGCCAUGGAGAGCGGCUGAGAUGGUUCAGGAAGAAGACAAGGGGUGUCAGCUUUGUACAGCUGGAAAAUGGGCUGAGCCCCAUGUAGCGCAAGGGGAUGUGACGAUGGGCACCGGCGACAUGAACAGCACCCUUGCAAGCCCAUCCAGCGGGACUGGCCACUAUGCCAACGCCGUGCCGAGGCACCGACAUGCCCUGUCCCCGCCACGCCACGCCACCUUACCCACGCCACUUCACGGUCCAUGAUAUCCCAAAUGCAUCUCACCCACAUCCCACUCAAGCACCGCAAACGGCUAGCCGGGCUCGGGCGCGGGAUCCCGGGCCGCGACACAUGUAAGGCUCGGGGACGCAUGGUUUGGCUGUUGCAAACAAUUUCGACAUUCUUGCCCCAAGACGCUUGUCGUCGACAUGUUUUGAUACAUGGAUGUAAGAUAUUUAGGGGCCGAGAGCUAUACUCGUGAACUGAAGAAAGUCAAGAUGUCCAUGGACUCACGAGGUCGCUUCUCGCUCCGGCCGAGUUUUCCCUGCCGUCUAUUUUUCUACAAUAGGUAAUUGCAAUUAAUAAUACGUGGCCCGCGUUUGUGCCAGUAUGGUACUUUUUGUCGACACAGGCACACACGCACGCACGGACAGGGGCAAUCCUGGGGGGCUUCGCCCCCCCUGGAUCGCUUCGCUCAGGGGGCUCAGCCCAAAAAGGCAGUCCUAUGAGCAGCGGUGGGUUGUCUCUGCCUGCAAUCGUGUCCGUCUCGCGUCGGACCCCUGCAUAAUGAAAGUACUCUGCGCCUGUUAUACCUGGGGCAUUCAUGUGCGGUGGCAGUGGGUGGUGAAAGGUGAGGCUGGAGCUAGCGCUGCUUUGCCCCUUGGUGAUCCCUUUGUGGUGUGAACUUCCAACUGCACCAAACCAAAGGACUGAACGCACAGGAAUCGGAUCCUAGGCGUGACCAAAGUGGAGAGGGCGGGUUGCUAACGCAUGCCACUCCCCCGGCAGCGGUGGUUACAGGUGGGCCGCUUCGGCACGGGUCGGCACGGGUCAGGGCACGAGCAAUUGUUCACACAUUGCGCUUCAGUGCCUUGCCAGCCCGAGCACCCGCAGUACCCAAUGCCGCCGUGUCCCGACUCCGCGAUGGGGGCCAGGACAGUCUGGCUUGACCAGGCGUGCUGCCUCUCCUACCGUAGCCUACCCCGGCGCGGCGGCCGUGCUGACGACCACAACUGCCCUGACCAUGGUCCCACACUUCCACUCCAUGCCGACUCUGACGUGGACGCUGGUGUUCGGGUGCGAAUGUGCAAUUGUGCGCAGCGCCCUGCAUCCCCCGCGGCACGUACGGACCCCCGUGUCAGGGCGCCGCCGCCCGGUGACGUACAGAAGCCAGGGCAGAGGUUCCGGGCUGCCGGGCCCGGACCAGGCUUGCGGGCGGUCAGAACCUUCAGAGCACCACGUGUAUGCCAAAUGCCUGCACAUUGCGCGUAAUUGCCCGUCAAGUGUUUUGCUACCUGCCUGCCUCUUGCUUUGCCUGGGUCCACCCACCCCGCAUAGCACGCAUGACCCAUGCCGCAUGCAGUACGACCGGGAUGAGCCAUGCAGCCACUGCGCUGUCUCUAUCUGUCCGGCCGCCCGGCGCGCGGAGUUGUCUGCCUUUCUUUUUGGCGUAGUGUUUACAUCAGCUUCCCCUACGCCGCCUUAGGUCACCUCGUGCAACUCGGCCCGCCUUGCAGCCAGCAGCCGCGCUCCCGCGCGCUCCGAGCUGCAUUUGUCUACUGCCACUGUUGCCUCCCCGCUUCCUGCCGCUGUUGGUUCCGCCCUCUCUUCCUCACUCCGUUCCUUCCACACAUAUGCUGCUGGGCGCCAGUGGCGCUGGUGUCUCCCGGUUGGUUUCGGACAGCUCGUAUUCUGGCGUCUCCGGCGCCUUCAUUCGCGGCCGCUCCUGAUCCAGGCUCGCCAUGCCAUGCGUUACACCGUACUGUAUGCCUGUGAGUGCUCGCCCUCGUAUCACGGAAUGCUCUCUUGGGAUGCGCUCUCCCUUCUUUGUGUGUCCGUCCAUGCAGCCAGUAAAAUCAUUGGGCUCAGGGCUGGGCCAAAGCAGUACAGUUGCGCCAGCCCCGCCACUCGCCAUCAGAGUCUCUGUUUCUUCCUGAUGCGCCCAUGCUCAAUUGCUCAUAUGCUGCCGGGUUGGCAACUGUGCACGAAGUACGCAAGCUUUGUACAGGGCUCCCUCCGUUCCUAACGAGCGUCAUGAGAACUGGCCUGCAUCCAUACCUCCAUGAUAUUUAUCCCAGUUGGCUCCUGUAAACUCACUCGUGGCCGCAUUCAAAAUGCGCAGAUCCCAACUAUCAAACACCAAGGAACCCCUCUACCUAAAGGCGUGCGCCACAAUCCGCCGGGAACCUCGUGCCACUCUUUUAUAUGCGUCCCCACUCCCUCUGUCUGUGCCUUGUGAACCUGCCCAGUUCAAUUGCCGCACUUGGCAUGCCGCAGUCCUCAUUGUGUACUGUGCCCUUGAAACUUCGCCGCUGCUUGACAGGCGCGCGGCAUUCGCUUUGCCCUGGCCCGUACCACACUCUGCCGUACCUAGUCGGCCGCAGUCGGCGGGAUCUGCGCAUAGAUGGCGUAUCUAUCCGAUCGCAAUGGAGCUCUUCAUGUUGCACAACGUUAUCUUCACAAUUGCGCAAGGCUUACGGACAAGGUCCCCCUUAUGCCUCAUCAGCAGCAUGCGCCAGCACGCCUGGUGCCAUACCCAUCCAUCAGGCUACAGCGCCAAAGAAAUACCACGCAAGUGUGAAACCAACAAACACUUUUGACUUGCUUCAUAAACAAAGCUCAAUGCUUGCCGCAGCGGCGGCGUGAUCCCCACAGGUCAACCCAGCGCUCCAUCCUGCGACCGCCUACUCAUGUGCCUACUUCCAGCCCCCUCCGGAACUUACGGGCACCUCACGGGCACCUAGACGUCAGCCAACCCGCCUGCUUUGAAAGCUGUAGCCUGAAACAACCACAUUGUAGCAUUCUCAUAGGAAGCUUGAGGGGCUGGCGCUACAGUAUGAGGGCGCCGCACGCUCUGGAUAAGCUUCCGUGACCCGUCAGUCGACAUUACCAUGCGACACUUUGCAUGGACUAAAUAUUUCUGCUGACGGCUUCUGCUGCACACUCAAAAUGUAUUCUGACGUCAUAUGCGCAUCAUGAUCACGCACCACACACGACCGUGCCGCACCGUUAUUCGCAAAGCCGCGAAAAAAGAAGUCGCUUUUGGAGUUAUGCUUUUUCUUCUCUCAGUUUGCAUUGAGGUCCGAUCGCGCUGAUGCAUUUACCGCCGAAAGACUCCCAGCAGGUUAAACGCGCGCUCCUUCUUGGAAGCGGUCUCCUGCUCCGGCUCCACCUCCUCCUCGGGCUCCUCCUGCACCUCCUCCACCGGCUGCUGCUUGCGGCCCAGCAGACCGCCGAACAACUGCUGCUUGGCACCGUUUCCGUUUCCGUUGGUGUUUCCAUUACCGCUUCCGUUUCCGUUGGCAGCCUUGGCGGGCGCGGCCUUUCCGUUACCGUUGCCGUUGGCCCUGCCGUUGGAGCCGCCGCCAGAGGCUGGCUUCUUCACCCCGAGGAUGUUGGGCACCUGCAGGGCAGGCCGCACAGAUGGUGCGGGGCAGAGAGGCACAGCGGCGGCACCGUGUGAGUUGGCUGCUUGAGGGGCUGAUAUGGAUACUGCUGUAUGACCGGCCCCUGAGCGACCCCCGCUGCCGCGAGCACGACCUUUGGCACUCAUAUGAUUCUAUCGACCUAACGCGGCGACGCCCACCGGUUGCAUCGCUCGAGGACACCGUCGCGACUGGCUAGCGGGCUAGCUGGCACUGGCUGAAUCGCUGGCUGCUGAAUCGCUGGCUGAUUGGCGCACGCACACACACACACACACACACACACACACACACACACACACACACACACACACACACACACACAGAGAGAGACACACACAUAGACAGACACACACACAGACACACACUGACACACACUGACACACACUGACACGCACGCACACACACACGCACACACACACACACACUCAUGCUCAAGCUGGGCACGAGCUCUGCAACGCACUUCGCUGCGCCGGCGCCUGCUCCGCCCUCUCGCCCGAGCACGCGCCCACACCAGCCACUCCACCCGCCGCCGCCACGACCACCCGCCCGCCGCCGCCCAGCGCCCGCCUGCUCCCUGUCCUCUACGCCGGCAGCAGUGAGCGCGGCACGCUCACCUUGACCUUUGCCUCGACCCGAGCGGCAGCCGCCGCCGCAGCUGCGGCCGCGCCAGCGGCGGCCAUGGGCCCGGUAGGCUUCACCGGCGUGGUUGGCUUGGCACCCUUGCCGCCGCGGGCGUUGUUGAUCGCCGAGCCGACCUGCAUUGCGGAUGGGGCCGCACCGUAUGGAUCCUGGAAAGUUGGGGGGCGUGGCAUAAGGUCAGGGUGUCGGGGUGCUUCAGGCCCACGGCCGCGUGUGCGUGUCACCGUCGGUGAGCGGUGGCAGGCCACAAGACCCGAGCGCCUUCGGCAGCCCCUGAGAGCUGCCCUGCCUCCCUCCCCGAGCGACCUCGAGCGCAUCGUGCGCCCCCUGUCCAAAUGCCCCUGCUCGACCUUGAACCCGGCUUGCCAACCCCGUCAACCACGCCACAACCCCUUUACCGGACCCUGCCCCCUCCCCCUUCCUCAUCUUCCUACACCUCCCCUCCUUCCUCCCCUUCCCCUCCUUCCCCUCCCUCCCCUGCCCAUCAGGCCAUCGCUCACCGACUCCGACAUGGCCUCCCGCCGCUCCACCAGGCGCGCCUUGAGCUCGUUCUGGCGCUCCUGCCACCAGGCAAUGGUCUGGCUGCCCUCGCGGGGCGCCACCGGCGCCGGCUCCUGCAGGCCCAACUCCUGUGGGGGGCAGGGAAGCAAGGGGGGGUGGGGCAGGGGCAACACCGUGUGGAACGGAAACACCCGGACAUGGGUAGCUGUGAGAGGAGAGGACGUAUCCCUUGCACCUGUGCGGUGCACGUAACACCACGUGGUCCCUCCCACCCCUGCUUCACAGUCUCCGUAGCGCUGCCACGCUCCCGCACCACUGGCCCCCACCGGUAUGUGUGUGUAUGUGUGUGUAUGAACACCGCCCCGCUCUCCUAGCCCGGUCCCUUCACGCGCCCGCUGUGCCUCCGCCUGCCCCGCGACCAAUCCGAGACCUAGUCGUCGUGCUGGCGUAAAAGGACGCCCCCUACGCCGGCCCCUUUUCCCUGAUAUCACACAGGUGCGCUAACACAUCCCUCUCCCUCACUCCCUCUCCCUCACGCUCCCCGGCGCUCACCUCCAUCAGCUGCGCCUCCGUGAGUGCGCCCUGGUUCACCUUGAGGAUGGCCUCCUCCUGCGAACAGGCGGCAGGCGGCAGGGGCAGCAGCAACAGCCAGCGAUGAGGGAACCCCAGGACCAGAUUGAUUCUCCUUACUCGUCAAACAAGCUCUCUCUCACCCGUGCCCCUCCCACCACCGCCCCUCCAACUACGGCCCCUCCCACCACCGCUUCUACCACCACCGCCCCUCCCACCGCCGCCCCCUCCCACCGCCGCCCCUUCCCCUCCACCCCGGCACCCAGCUCUCACCAUUGACGCCAGGCCCGCGUCCUUGGCCGCCUGGCCCAGGCUCUUGCCUGCCGCCGUGAGCGCCGUGCUGGUGGCGGCGGCGGCGGUGGACACGGUGGCCUCGAAGCUGCCGCUGAGGCUGUGCUGCAGGCUGGCGGUGCGGCCGGGGGCCGACGUCAGCCAGGGGUGGGCCAGCACCGCGGCGGCGGAGGGACUGCGGGGAAAGGGCGCGGUGGGGGUUAGUGGGAGGGCUUACGAAGGAGUCAAGGGGCGCGGGUGGCAUCGGGAGCACGCAAGGCCGUGCUGAGGUUCCAAGUCACAUACCGUACCAUUGAGGCAGCCCUGUAUGCCUUGGCCUCCAUCCUGCCCUGGGUUCACCCUGCUGUAAUGGAGUGCCCUCCAUGAGCGCCCUCCCUGUCCGCCUCCCCUCCUCCUCCCCCCUCUCCUCCCCCCUCUCCUACGACUUCGCUUCUUAAUUAAUCAUGAAUGUAACCCCCCUCUCCUCCCCCCUCUCCUCCUUCUUCACCUCCUCCUCCACCUCCUCCGCCCCACUCCUCCCCCUCCCCCCUCCCCCCUCCCCCCUCCCCCCUCCCCCUCCCCCUCCUCCUCCCCCUCCUCCUCACCGGUCCGUGGGCUUGUACGCCAGCAGGCGCAUCAGCAGGUCCCAGCCCGCGCCGCCGUCCGCGUCCAGCGCCUCAAAGCCCGCCUCCAGCGACUCGGCCAGCGCCCCCUUGGCGGAGGGCAGCUUGGCCUCCUCCUCGCGACGCCAGGCCGGCAGGUCCCACUUGAGCUCCUGGGGGUUGGCGGGAGAGGCGGGUGGGUGCGGCGGUGGGCGAUGAGGGGAGGGGGAGGGGGAGGGCGCCAGGCGGGAGUUCCCGUGUGCUGGGGAGGGCUGCUUUUUCCCACCCUGCGUUCAUGUGCCGGUGCGCGGAUUCCACACGCACGCUCUUCCGCUGCACCGUCGCCCCCAUCCCAGGCCCCGACCCCAUGUAUCCCCUCUAUCACGCCUCAGACACCCGUUGCACCACCACCAACACCACCUCCCCGCCGGCCCGCUCCCAUCCCCUCCAUCUCCCCCUACGCCCACUGCUCCAACCUCCCACCCACCACACACACUUAUACACACACACACACACACACACACACACGCCCACGCCCACCGCACCUGCAGCCGCUUGUUGAAUGCGAUGAGUGCGUUGUCGUUGCGCAGGUGGCCGAACACCAUCUGCAGCAGCGUGAUGCCGCAGCUGUACAUGUCGAAGCGGUCCGGCUUCUCCAUGGUCCACAGGAUGGGGCUCAGGAAGGCAGCCACGGGCUUGGGCGGCGGCUUGGGAGUCUGCGAGAGGUGAGGCGCGUGAGAGGGAGGGAGGAGGGAGGGAGGGGGCGUGACGGAGGCGUGAGUAGGCGCGGGGGAGGGAGGCGUGAAGAACCAGUGCGAGGAGGAGGGAUGGGCAGGUGUGGGUACUGCCGCUAUCACACUCUCCCACGACGACGCCGCGCACCUGCGUGCUCAUGAUGUACUGCUGCGGCGGCGCGUACCGCGGGUCCAGCAGGUACUCGUUGGGCACGUAGUUGAUGCCGAUGCGCAGGUCGGCGGCGGCGCCCAGGUCAAUCAGCUUGAUCUUCUUGUCGCGCUCGCUCACAAUGCAGUUGGCGGGCUUGAUGUCGCGGUGCACGAUGCCUGUGCGGCGUGUGUGUUUGUGCGUGCGUGUUAAAUGCGUGCAUGUUUCCUUCAACCCUGCACGCCCCCAACCACCUUCAUCCCCUAUGACUUGGGCUUCGGAAUGAAGUGCUGCCCUCCUCCAUCUCCACCUCCGGUCCACACCCCCUUCCACCCUCCCCUCCCUCAGCACCUCAAAUUUGUAAUUUAACCACUCCGUUCCCAUCCCCAACGGCUACAAACCCCCCUUCCCCUCCGCACCCCACCUCCCCCCAGCCCGGCACUCACCCACGGAGUGGCACGCGGCCACCGCCUGCACCAGCUGCCUGAAGGCCUCCUUGAUGGUCACCAGCUCGCGCACGGGGCCGCGGGGCGCGCGCAGCUCGCGGCCAAACAGCAGUGGCUCCAGGUUGUAGGGCCACUCGCGGCGCUGGGGUAGGAGGGGCGGGAGCGGAAGAGUUGGGGUGUGCGUGUGUGCAGCCGCCCAUGGCCGUGCCCAUCUCCACCUCCCCACUUCUCCAGGACAGCCCCAGUACCGUACGUCCCACUAACGUUCCCGUUCGCUCACUGUUGCUGGCCCAGCCCCCCAUUCUGCCCCAGCCCCCCAUUCUGCCCCCUCCCUUCCCUCUGCCACCUCCCCCCACCGCUCCGCUCCCCCUCCCCCCACUCACCUCCAUGAGGCUGCUGAGUGUGUUGUCGCCCUCGUACACCCACACCAGCCAGAUGCUGUUGGCGUCCAGCGGCGAGGUGGGCUGCACAGGCGCGGCUCGCUUGCCGGCGGCUGCGACAGGGAGCCGCGAGGAGGGUAGAGAGGGAGGGCGGAAGGGAGUCGGGAGAGGCGGACGGUGCGGGGAAUCAGGCCCGCGUGAGUUGCAAGGCGUGGCAGUGUUCACGGCUUCACGGCGCCCUUGCCCGCGCCGGCCUCUCGCACGCCAUGUAGCCGUGCCUCCCACCCGGUCACCCAGCCCCCAUUCCUGUCCUGUCCCGUGCCACACGUGCGCAUACGCCAUUCACUGUACAGCCCCUCAGCAGCACCGCUCACCCACCACUCCCUCAUGCAGCACCCAUGCAGCACCAGCCGCAACUCCACCUUCCACCCGCGCGCCCCUGCCCCACACCGCGCAAUUUGCGCCACGCCGUUUGCCCCACGCCAUUUGUCCAAGACUCCCACUCCCAACCACCCACGCCCGCGCCACCACCACACACGCACCGGCGGGCAGCGGCACGUUGAGCGACUCGUCAAAGGCGGUCACGAACUCCGCCACGUGGUGCCCGGCCACCCGGCUCAUGCGCUCGUUCAUCCACACCUCGGCCUCGCCAAACUCCUUGGCCUGGUGGGGGGGGGGGGUUGCGGAGGCGCGUGUGGCACAGCCGUGUCGGUGGGUGAGGUGAGGGGUUGGGCG